AAAUGUACAAAUGUUUAACACUUCCUGUUUCACUGUGGACUCAAAAUUUGGCACUUCCUAUUACAGUCUCAACCUGCCACUGAAUUCCUGCGAGAUCCCACAAGAUCUUGUCUAUUGUCAAUCCAGGAAGUGUCCAUCCAGAAGUGUUCAACAUUUGACAUUUCCUUUUUAUUAUUAUUAUUAUUUUAAUUUAAUGAGACAAACAAAAAGUUACACAGAAACCUUACAGAGGAUUACAGAGAAUACUAUGGCUAUGGCUUUGGCUAUGUGCCACAGGCUU